rnacentral:tRNA from 2 species
GCAGGUGUGGUGUCAAUGGCAACACAGCAGUCUUGUAAACUGCCUAUGCGAGUUCAAAUCUCGCCUCCUGCU